rnacentral:piRNA from 1 species
UAUGCCUUGUGGACUAUUCUCAGUUACCUGU